rnacentral:rRNA from 1 species
AUUGAACGCUGGCGGCAUGCCUUACACAUGCAAGUCGAACGGCAGCACGGGGCAACCUGGUGGCGAGUGGCGAACGGGUGAGUAAUGCAUCGGAACGUGCCCAGUCGGGGGGGAUAACGCAGCGAAAGCUGUGCUAAUACCGCAUACGAUCUAUGGAUGAAAGCGGGGGACCGUAAGGCCUCGCGCGAUUGGAGCGGCCGAUGUCAGAUUAGGUAGUUGGUGGGGUAAAGGCUCACCAAGCCAACGAUCUGUAGCUGGUCUGAGAGGACGACCAGCCACACUGGGACUGAGACACGGCCCAGACUCCUACGGGAGGCAGCAGUGGGGAAUUUUGGACAAUGGGCGCAAGCCUGAUCCAGCAAUGCCGCGUGCAGGAAGAAGGCCUUCGGGUUGUAAACUGCUUUUGUACGGAACGAAAAGGUUUGGGUUAAUACCCUGGGCCGAUGACGGUACCGUAAGAAUAAGCACCGGCUAACUACGUGCCAGCCGCCGCCGUAAGAC